GAUGAACGCUAGCGGCAGGCCUAAUACAUGCAAGUCGAACGAUACCAGAGAGCUUGCUUUCUGGGAAAGUGGCGCACGGGUGCGUAACGCGUAUGCAACCUACCUUAAUCAGGGGGAUAGCCUCUCGAAAGAGAGAUUAACACCGCAUAAAAUCACACUUCGGCAUCGAAGAAUGAUCAAAUAUUUAUAGGAUUAAGAUGGGCAUGCGUGACAUUAGCUAGUUGGUAAGGUAACGGCUUACCAAGGCUACGAUGUCUAGGGGAUCUGAGAGGAUGACCCCCACACUGGUACUGAGACACGGACCAGACUCCUACGGGAGGCAGCAGUGGGGAAUAUUGGACAAUGGGGGCAACCCUGAUCCAGCAAUGCCGCGUGAGUGAUGAAGGCCUUAGGGUUGUAAAGCUCUUUUACCAGGGACGAUGAUGACGGUACCUGGAGAAUAAGCCCCGGCUAACUUCGUGCCAGCAGCCGCGGUAAU
rnacentral:rRNA from 1 species